ensembl:lncRNA
AAAGGGUUGAGUGUGUGUGGGUGUAUGUGUGUAUCCCACAACUGUUGCGAAGGAGUAAAAUAUGUUAGGGACAAUAGAGGAUGAUCCACAGCUAUAUAUAAUACAAAUCGGGGUGAGGGCGAUGGAAAUGCAUUUGGCAGUUGAUAAAGUUCAAUUCGGUAAAUGGCACUGUGUGCUCUUUUCGAAGGAUGGAUCCCAGUAUGUUCAGGGCUAUGGGAUGCGAGGGGUCGGAGGUGGUCUGUCGGGCAUUGGGAUGACGGCCCAGCUCGGGAUGAGGAGGGCUUUUAGCGGGUGGAAUGGUGGGGACCAAUUGGAGGUUUACUUAGUAGCAAUGCAAAUAUCAUGGUACAGCUAUAUAGACACUCAAUCAUCAUGUUACUUUUUAAUGGUACGUUUACAAACAUAUAUUUUGAUAAAUAGAAUUGAAAGUUGUGUCUCAUUAUGGUAAGUGGUGAAAUAAGUAUAGCCAGUUACAAUUGCAAUGGCCUAGCAGAUAAUAAGAAAAGACGAUCAGUAUUUACCUGGCUAAAAGAGAAGGAAUAUAACAUAUAUUGUUUACAGGAAACCGAUUCAACAAUCGUUGAAAGUUUUGUGGAAAAAGAACUGGGGGGACGAAAUAUAUUUCUCCCAUGGGCAAAGAAAUUCAAAAGGGGUGAUGGUUUUAAUUAACAGUCAUUUUGAUCUGAAUGUGCAAAUUAUCCAAACAGAUUAUCAAGGUAGAUGGAUUAUUUGAAAUAUGUUAUUGGACAAUAAACAGAUAUGGCUUAUUAGCCUAUACGGUCCGAAUAAUGAUGAUCCAACCUUCUUUGAAAAUAUAUAUAAGAAUGUAUCAACUCUACAAGGACCACUAAACUCUAUUAUUAUGGUGGGAGAUUUUAAUACGGUCUUAAAUACCUCUAUGGACCGGAAAGGAAAUCACACUACAAACUAUCACCCUCAGGCACUUAAGGAAAUCAUGAAUGUCAUGGAUAUAUUGGAAUUAGUGGAUAUAUGGAGAUUUAAAUACCCUGACCUAGUGAGAUAUACAUGGCGGAGGCUUAAUCAAGCUAGUCGUCUUGAAUUAUUUUUUAUGCCAUUCUCUCUGGCACCAAAAGUUUAAAAAGUGUUGAUAGAGGACAGAAUGUGGUUGGAUCAUCACAUAAUUGGCAUAUAUAUUACUCUUACAGAAUUUCCACGUGAGCGAGGAUAUUGGAAAUUUAAUCAAAGCCUACUAGAUGGUAAAUUGUUUAGAUCCAGGACAGAAGAAUUUAUAACAGACUUUUUCAGACAUAACAUAGGUACAGCAAAUCCCCUUAUUGUAUGGGACACUUUUAAGUGUGCCUUUAGAGGCCAAGCAAUUCAGUACUCAUCAAUUAAACAAAAGCAAUUUAGAUCAAAAGAGUCCAUAUUAACAAAGGAAAUUGAAGGACUAACAGUACAGUUAGAUAGCAAUAAAAAUGGUAACAUAGUGGCACAGAAUAAGUUAGAGGAAAAACAAAAAGAAAUGGAGGAACUUAUUCAAGAAGAAUCCAGUGUAAUAGAUUAUAAAAAAUAAAGCGAACUGGAUGGAAUAUGGGGAAAAAUGCACCAAAUUCUUUUUCAAUCUUCAAUAUAGAAAUGCUACCCAAAAAAUGUAUUAAAACUUGUUACAAAUGAUGGAGUCACGCAUGAUUCACCAAAUUAUAUUUUGAAAGAGGAAGUAAAGUACUUUAAGAAUACGUUUUCAUUUCAGGCUCCUCCAUCUCCACUAACUGAAAUUAAUUGUAUGUAUUUUUUUCCUAAUAAUAUUGUAAAAUUUAACAUCUGUACAGAAAGACUCAUGUGAAGGCCAAAUUACAGAGGAGGAACUGCUUGAUGCAAUUGGGGUCUUUAAGAAUGGGAAAUCUCCAGGGCUGGAUGGCAUACCAGUGGAAGCAUACAAAACAUUUUUUGAUAUACUCAAAGGACCAUUAUUAGCAUGUUUUAACCACUCCUAUAUAAAUGGUAGAUUAUCAGACACACAACAAGAAGGUCUGAUAUCAUUAUUACUGAAACAGGACCCAAGUGGUAUAUAUAAAGAUCCAGUCCAUUUAAAAAAUUGGAGACCUCUUACACUUCAGUGUUGUGAUGCAAAAGUCCUAGCAAAAUGCUUGGCGCAUAGAAUUAAAAAAGUAUUGUCAGAUAUUAUUCAUCCUAAUCAGACAGGUUUUUUACAUGGAUGAUACAUUGGAGAUAAUAUAAGGCAAGUACUGGAAACAAUAGAAUACUAUGAAAUAUCGGGGACACCAGGCCUGGUUUUCAUAGCAGAUUUUGAAAAGGCUUUUGAUAAAGUAUGACUGGAGUUUAUAUAUAAAUGCCUAGAAUAUUUCAAUUUUGGGGAAUCUCUUAUAAAAUGGGUUAAAGUUAUGUAUAGUAAACCUAGGUGUAAAAUAAUAAAUAAUAGCUACAUCUCAGAAAGUUUUAAACUCUCUAGAGGAGUAAAACAAGGUUGUCCACUAUCGGCAUAUCUAUUUAUUAUUGCCAUCGAAAUGUUAGCUGUUAAGAUUAGAUCAAACAAUAAUAUUAAGUGAUUAGAAAUCUGUGGCUUAAAAACUAAGGUGUCAUUGUACGCUGAUGAUUCAUGUUUUCUUUUAAAACCACAAUUAGUCUCUCCACGGCCUCAUAGAGGAUCUAGAUACUUUUGCUAUUCUCUCUGGAUUAAAACCAAAUUAUGAUAAUAUUACGCAUUGGAUCACAAAAAAAAUGCUAAUUUUACAUUACCAUGUAGUUUACAUAAAAUGGUCUGACGGAGAUGCGGACAUACUUGGGGAAAAAAAAAGCUCUGACGAAGGCCGUGUGGCCGAUAUGUACGCUUAUUAAAGAUCUGUAAUACUAUCAAGAGUAGUGUGCGGUUUCCUUUUUCCUUCAACAUACUCGGUAUACAAAUGCCAAAAGAAAGAAAUGAUCUCACUCCAAUAAUUUUUUAUAGAAAGUUAGCAAAAAUAUUGCUACCAUGGAAAGGAAAAUACCUGUCUAUUUGUGGAAAAAUCACCCUGAUUAACUCUUUAGUCAUAUCACAGUUUACCUAUUUGCUUAUGGUUUUGCCAUCACCUAGUGAUCUGCUUUUUAAAUUAUAUGAACAUAAAAUAUUCCAUUUUAUUUGGAACGGCAAGCCAGAUAAAAUUUAAAGGGCCUAUUUAUAUAACGAAUAUGAAUUCGGAGGGCAGAAAUGAUUAAAUAUUAAAGCAUUAGACCUCUCACUAAAGGCAUCAGUCAUACAAAAGUUAUACUUAAAUCCAAACUGUUUCUCUAGUAAAUUGGUACGAAUGUCUCGUCCUAUGUUCAAGAAGGGCCUUUUUCCCUUUAUUCAGAUUACGCCGGCCCACUUUCGAUUGUUUGAAAUGGAAAUAAUCUCCAAAAUAACUUUAUUUUUUAAACAAGCCUUAGAAAGUUGGUUGCAAUUUCAGUUUAAUCCACCUGAAAAGACAGAACAAAUAAUACAACAAAUAUUGUGGUUAAAUUCAAAUAUACUAAUUGAUUUUUAAAAAACUGUAUUUUUAAAAUAAAUUAUUUAAAAAUGUAUAAUUUUUGUGAAUGAAAUCAUAAAUAGGACUGGUGGAGUUAUGUCACACAUGCAGCUAACACAGACAUAUGGAAAUGUCUGCUCUACCCAAAAUUACAACCAAUAAAUUGCAGCAUUACCACAAAAAUGGAAGAGGCAAGUAGAAGGGGAAAAAGUAAGGACCUUGUAUGUCGGCCCUGUAUUAAGGAACAUAAAUGGUUAAAGACAAGUGUGAUAAAUAAAAACAUAUACCAAUUCCAUUUAAGGACCAAAAUACUGACAGCUGUGCCAUAUAAAUUGCAAAAUAGUUGGGAAGAGAUUUUCGAUGUACCCAUUCCAUGGCACAUGGUUUAUGAAUUUAUAUGCAAAACAACGCCGGAUGCAAAAAUUCGAAUUUUUCAAAUUAAAUUACUAUACAAAAUUCUUGCAACUAAUAUAAUGUUAUAUACAUGGGGGAUACAAUCUUCCCAGCUCUGCAGAUUCUGCUGUGAGGAGGCAGAGUCAUUAGAUAAUUUAUUUUGGUAUUGUCCAUAUGUAGCUCGUUUUUGGUCACAGGUCCAGGAAUGGCUGAAGAAUUGCAACAUUUGCCUAGAACUAACACUGCAGAUAGCAAUACUGGGUGAUUUGAAAAGCCAUAGUCAAAAAUGGCAAAAAUGUUUAUUUUGAAUUUACAAUCCAUAGAAGCUAUGAGAAUAGAAAGGUUCAAUUCGUUUGUGAAGCAUCACAGCAGAGUUGAAACAUAUAUGGCAAAUAGAAAUACAAAAUGGAUGAUGUUGAGAGAUGGAUGGGAGGGGUUGAAUGGAGCUGAAGGGUGGGACUAAUAGCAAGAUAAAACAUCUAAAACCUGCGGGGUCUGUAAAAUGUAUAUAGGUUCAGAACUUUUGUGAAAUAGCACAGUUACAAAUAGAAAUCAAACUGGAUGGACAUCAGAAAUAGAGGAAGGACUAAAAACAAACAAAAAAUAACAAUUGUAAAAUAGACUGUGUCUGUAAAAUUUGUAUAAGAUGUAUAAAUUGAAGGUAAAAGCCGAAGUGUUUAUUAGUUUACUCCAAUUGUGGUAGGGUUAGCGGGGAAUACUAAUAAAGGUAUAUUCUUUAAAAAAGUAUGUAUGUCUAUAUAGGUAUGUGUAUGUAUAUAUGUGUACAUGUAUGCAUGCGUGUAUGGAUAUAUAUAUUUACAAUUACAUUGAUGGAACCAAUAUUCUUUCCGCAAUAUUAAGCUUAUCCACCCCUUAAAAUAUAUAUAUAUUUUUUUUUAUUAAAAUUUUUAAAAAUAGUAUGUGAUGGUGAGUUGAAAAGACAAUCAGAAAUAGUGUUAGAAUGUUUUUCAAUUGAAUGCCAUAGCCCCAAAUAAAAAAGUAAACAUUGACUGUUAAUUACAAUGUUUUUCACAUGGGUGAGCAUUUUCAGAUGGGGUCGUGGGCCAAAAGGUUUGUGAACCCCUGACCUAAACUAAGAGAUUAUCAACAUUACGAUCACUGUCUUCAUUUAGCACAUGUAAUAGCUUGCAUAAUGAGUCAUCAACAGCUGUAGCAGUGAAACAAUCCAUGCAGCUCUCAAUUGGGAUCAAUUGUUUUUGUUGUUGAGCAGUUUAUGAGUCCUGGUUGCAUUACAUAUCCAUUCAGGAGAAAGAUAUAUUUUUGUCUCAGACGGCCCGAGUGAUUAGACCUUGGUUACAUAUGGUUUACAACCCUAUCGAUCAUCGUCUUACUUCUUGAAGAAGACAGUUUAGUUGGCUCAAUUAAUGGCCAUCUGUGCCGGUACCGUGUGUGUUUAUAGCUGUGGGCAGCAGCAGGCAGUGUUCUCCUUCUCUGACAGGCCUGGAUGAGGUAGAUGAGGUUGCAUCCUUCCUCAGCCUCAGUAUUCAGCAUUUAGCUGUGAAAUACUCAGUGUUUGCAUCCAUAAUUCAUCUAGGAGCAUCAGACAGCCAGCGAGGAGAUGACAGAUCACUCAUUGUGUCGCUCUCACAGCGACGCAAUGAGGCUGACAGAGUUACCGGCGACAGGAGGGAGGGAGAACGGUGGAAGGGAGAGAGAGAGAGAGAGACGGGGGAGAGAGAUACAGAUGAAGGGGAAAAAAGAAAGAAAGAAAGAGAGAGAUCAACAGAGUCAAGGAGGACAAAGACGAAGAUAGAGAGAACGAUGGUGGUGUACAGAGGGAGAAAGGCAGGGAGGGCUUGAAAGAAAGAGAGUGAGAGAAAGAGGUAGGGAUGGAGAAGAGAGUGAAAGGGGGUACCGAGACAGUGAGAGAGAAAAUAAAGCAGCACAGGAGAGAAACAGGUAAGAAGGUGCAAAUUUAGAGCUUGUUCUAAUAAAGAAGUGUAGGAAGGGGGGGGGGUCUGAGAGGAGAGGGGAUGAGGUGUCAGCGGGAGACGUGAUCAGCAGAUACUCACCAUUGGUGGGGCACUGCUAAAAGUAGGGCGCAACCUCCCCCUUUCUACCUCCACCCCGUCUGUGCUACCAGGAGAGGAGCAGACCCUUUCCCCCUUAGACUGCGGCACAAGCAGCCAUGCUAUGCAUGGAAGUAUGUGUGCAUUACAUAAUUGGGCCGUCUCCAUACUGUAGCAUAUCAACCCUCUGAAAAUAAUUAUCUUGGCAGAUUUAUUAGCAUUAGCAUUGCUUUGUAUGGAAGAAAACGACUUUCCAAAUCAGUCAGCGAACCAGGUUCUUAGUGAAGCUUUGUGGUGGUCUCUGGUGGUCUUUUAUCAUCUCAUUUUGAACAAGACAUAUGUGUAAGACACUGUCAAAUACUGGUAGUUGUGUGGCCUGGGGCGAUCUAGCGGUUAUUGCCAUUGCCUUCUGAUCUUACAGAUAUCCCAGUUCUGGAGUGGAUUUGGAUCUGGCCCAUACUAUUCUAGCACACCUUCUUACCCUCCUUACUUUCUUGUCUCUUCACUGUCUAAAAGGAACUGGUAGGUGCAGCCACCUAGCCAGAUGUGAUAUUAAUAUCUACAGACUUGUGGGUACCACCCUGGGUCAGGUAAGACAUAUGGAAACUUUACAGGUAUUCUUAGCUCAGGUGAGAGGUUCAUGAGGUUGGUGCACUGAUUCCUGUGUCCUGUCUCUUCCAGAUUUGCACAUCACCCAUGCUCGUCCUCUGAGGUGGAGGGAUGGAGAAUGGAAAGGUGAAGUCCCCCUGGUUCAAGGAAGUUGGAAAAACACAAAAUAAUAAAUAUGAAGCCAAGAACAGCAUUGGGAGCAGAGAUGGGGUGGAUGCCAUGGAAUCGCUGUGCUCUGUCACUUAUGCAAUUCUAUCCGGAACUGGGAUGUAAUCCAGCCCUGUGGAGUGGAGGGAAAUGUUUUCCAAAACCUGGGGCUUCUUUUAAUGCGUGAGGAAUGAAUUGACCUUAACCCAGACGCCUAACAUUCCUUUCGGGAAUACUUUUUGGGAUUCCCAUUGAAAUUGCCUACUACAGAGGAACACCCUUGGAUGGUUUUGAUGAUGUAUUGUGGGUUUCAUAGUAAAGCUCCACUCUCCCUUAACGAUCGGUCAUUUGCCAAAGGAAUACAAUAAGAGGAAAAGGCAAUACAGUGUUUUGUUCUCCUCCCCGAGGGCCUUGGAAGCGUUAGCACACAGCGAUGUCGCGUCGAUGCACCGAUAUCAAACGGUUGUUCUUUGAUCUCUUAGGGCACUUUAUAAUCUUUAUAAUCCUAUCUUGCUCUCUUUCUCUCGCUCUCUCUUUCUCUACCCCCCCCAUCUCUCUCUCUCUCUCUGUCUAUAUGGACAAUUGAAUAGUAUAUUCAUCAAUUAAGAGAUCAGAUACAUCCAUUUUGGAUGAUGGUGAAAACAAAUCAUAUUAUUUGGCCAUGGAUAUCCCAACUUGGAAUAAAAACAUGGGCUCUCAAGAUGAGGUCAAAAUAAGAACCUGGAUCUGGUUUGGUUUGAUUACAUGAACUUACAGCACAAGUAUUGCGUUUUGGUUUGAUGGUGAAAUGGUGAGUUAAGUUUCAUUCUGACAAAAGAAACCGACCCUAUUGUAUAACACUUUCGAUAUGGAAAAGAUGGACACAUUGAUCGAAUACAAUUUUUCCCUUACUGUUGACUGUGUAUGUAUUUGUAUGUGAGAUAUACCUUCAAUUUUCUCUGAUUUGAUACCCAUAUUUCCUUUGAAUUAUGAAACAACAAUAAGAAAAAAAUACGUGAGAUGGAAUUGUAUGCUUUCAUAGGUAAAAUAUGUGGAUUUAUAAAGAAAUAAAAUUAUUUUUCUUGAAGCUGCGCAGCAACAUUAUUCACACAAUUUCUGAAGCUA